CUCAUUAAAUCAGUUAUAGUUUAUCUGAUGGUCUCUUUGUUCUUCUUGUUACCUACUUGGAUAACCGUGGUAAUUCUAGAGCUAAUACAUGCGCAAGGUCCCGAGCGCGGAGAGUAGGACUUCACGGUUCUAUUCUUGCAUGCGCAGCGGGAUGUAUUUAUUAGGUUAAACAACCAGCAUUUUCAUCAUCUGGUGAUUCAUAGUAACUUUUCGGAUCGCACUUAUG
rnacentral:rRNA from 1 species